ACUCCUACGGGAGGCAGCAGUGGGGAAUAUUGCACAAUGGGGGAAACCCUGAUGCAGCCAUGCCGCGUGUGUGAAGAAGGCCUUCGGUUGUAAAGACACUUCAGUAGGGAGGAAGGUAGUGUAGUUAACACCUGCAUUAUUUGUACGUUACCUACAGAAGAAGCACCGGCUAACUCCGUGCCAGCAGCCGCGGUAAUACGGAGGGGUGCGAGCGUUAAUCGGAAUUACUGGGCGUAAAGCGCAUGCAGGCGGCCUGUUAAGUCAGAUGUGAAAGCCCGGGGGCUUAACCUCGGAAUUGCAUUUGAAACUGGCAGGCUAGAGUCUGUAGAGGGGGUAGGAAUUUCAGGUGUAGCGGUGAAAUGCGUAGAGAUCUGAAGGAAUACCAGU
rnacentral:rRNA from 1 species